UACGGAGGGUGCGAGCGUUGUCCGGAAUCACUGGGCGUAAAGGCGCGUAGGCGGCCUGAUAAGUACGGGGGUGAAAUCCUGCGGCGUUAACCGCUAGGGCCUGACCUUCUAAACUGUCAGGCUGGAGCAGCAGUAGGAAGGCAGGGUGGAAUUCCCGGUGUAGCGGUGGAAUGCGUAGAGAAUCGGAAGAACAUCAGUGGCGAA
rnacentral:rRNA from 1 species